AGGAAUGGGAUAUUCCGACUCCUUAAGGGCCAGGCGCACAUAAGGUGUGACCUUUUCAUUCCCGUUGUUAUGGAGGGCCACAUCUGCCAGAGCCUGGAGUCUGCGAAGGCCGGGACCCGGUUCCCCGGCCCACCGUGGGGGGGGGUGUGCAAACCCGAGAGAACUGGGUUGCAAAUUCGUGAAGAAUCAGCAUCAUGUUUGGCAGCUGAGUAUUGGAGCCAGGAGCCUGCCAUGAGGUUAUAUUCCCAGAGGAUGUCAGUCCCAAGGACCAGUAGCUGCCAUCAGUUUGGAUUCUGAAAACUAACCGGCAUCAACACUGGGUGUAGAAACAUGCUUGCCUUAUGUAUCAGAGGACAUGCUCAGCAGAUCCAAGAGAUAUAUUUGGCAACUUUUUCUAGAAAAGGCACAUUGGGUAUCAUUCAUUACAUUCUUGAGUUUUUUUGGUUUUUUUUUUUUUUUUUUUUUGAGACAGUCUUGCUGUAUUGCCCAGGCUGGAGUGUGGUGGCACAAUCACAGCUCAUUGCAUCCUCAAUCACCCAGGCCUAAGCAAUCCUCCCACCUUGUAGCUGGGACUAUAGCUCACAGCACACCUGGCUAAAAUUUUU
rnacentral:antisense_RNA from 1 species